rnacentral:rRNA from 1 species
UACGAAGGGUGCAAACGUUGCUCGGAAUUAUUGGGCGUAAAGCGCACGUAGGCGGCUUGGCAAGUCGGAUGUGAAAUCCCUCGGCUCAACCAAGGAAGUGCAUCCGAAACUGCCGAGCUUGAGUACUUAAGAGGAUCGCGGAAUUCCCGGUGUAGAGGUGAAAUUCGUAGAUAUCGGGAGGAACACCAGUGGCGAAGGCGGCGAUCUGGGUGGAUACUGACGCUGAGGUGCGAAAGCGUGGGGAGCAAACAGG